rnacentral:rRNA from 1 species
CAGCCGCCGCGGGAAUACGUAGGGCGCAAGCGUUGUCCGGAAUUAUUGGGCGUAAAGAGCUCGUAGGCGGUUUGUCGCGUCUGCUGUGAAAACUCGAGGCUCAACCUCGGGCUUGCAGUGGGUACGGGCAGACUAGAGUGCGGUAGGGGAGACUGGAAUUCCUGGUGUAGCGGUGGAAUGCGCAGAUAUCAGGAGGAACACCGAUGGCGAAGGCAGGUCUCUGGGCCGCAACUGACGCUGAGGAGCGAAAGCAUGGGGAGCGAACAGGAUUAGAUACCCCCGUAGUCCCUGUCUCUUAUAA